UACGGGGGGGGCAAGCGUUGUUCGGAAUUACUGGGCGUAAAGGGCUCGUAGGCGGCCAACUAAGUCGGACGUGAAAUCCCCAGGCUCAACCUGGGAACUGCGUCUGAUACUGGAUGGCUUGAAUCCGGGAGAGGGAUGCAGAAUUCCAGGUGUAGCGGUGAAAUGCGUAGAUAUCGGAAGGAACAUCAGUGGCGAAAGCGGCUUCCUGGACCAGCACCGACGUUCAGGCACGAAAGCGUGGGGAGCAAACAGG
rnacentral:rRNA from 1 species